rnacentral:rRNA from 1 species
GAUGAACGCUGGCGGCGUGCCUAAUACAUGCAAGUCGAGCGAACAGACGAGGAGCUUGCUCCUCUGACGUUAGCGGCGGACGGGUGAGUAACACGUGGAUAACCUACCUAUAAGACUGGGAUAACUUCGGGAAACCGGAGCUAAUACCGGAUAAUAUAUUGAACCGCAUGGUUCAAUAGUGAAAGACGGUUUUGCUGUCACUUAUAGAUUGAUCCGCGCCGCAUUAGCUAGUUGGUAAGGUAACGGCUUACCAAGGCAACGAUGCAUAGCCGACCUGAGAGGGUGAUCGGCCACACUGAAACUGAGACACGGUCCAGACUCCUACGGGAGGCAGCAGUAGGGAAUCUUCCGAAAUGGGCGAAAGCCUGACGGAGCAACGCCGCGUGAGUGAUGAAGGUCUUCGGAUCGUAAAACUCUGUUAUUAGGGAAGAACAAAUGUGUAAGUAACUAUGCACGUCUUGACGGUACCUAAUCAGAAAGCCACGGCUAACUACGUG